rnacentral:rRNA from 1 species
UACGGAGGGGGCGAGUGUUGUUCGGAAUUACUGGGCGUAAAGGGCGCGCAGGCGGCUUGGCAAGUCGAGUGUGAAAUACCUCAGCUUAACUGAGGAACGGCGCUCGAAACUACGGGACUGGAGUAUGGCAGAGGGAGGUGGAAUUCCACGUGUAGCGGUGAAAUGCGUAGAGAUGUGGAGGAACACCGAUGGCGAAGGCAGCCUCCUGGGCCAAUACUGACGCUCAUGCACGAAAGCGUGGGGAGCAAACAGG